GUGACUUUAUAAAUCAUAACACUCAACCGUUUUCUCAAAAAAGGAAAAAGAAAAUCAUAACCUUCAAAAGAGAAAAAAAUGCAGUCCAUGCUAAAUCUCCAUGGAACCUAUGGCCUACCUCUUUCUGUUUUAGGAAUCACUCACUGUCUCACUCUUUCUAGAGAAAUGGCAGAUCAGGAUCGCAGACGACAGGCACUAAAUAAACGAAGAUCACAAGUUAGAGAGGGUAUGCAUGCAAAUCAAGAAAUGGGUAUUGAAAGAAUUAUCCAAGAGGGUGAGAAUGAGAUAGAUGGAGAUCUAACUAUUGUUUUACAGGAUCUAUCUUCUUCUUCGACAGCAAAGGCUGCAUAACUUUUGGUUUUUUUAAUUAGUGAUAUUAUUAUUAAAUAUUUAUUGUAUGCUUUUAAUCUAUUUUCUCUUUAAUUUAGCAAUAUUAAGUACAGUUUUAUUUUUUUUUCUGUGAUGUUUAUUGUUUGGUUUGAUAUGAAUAUGAUAUUCCGAAUGUGUUCCUUUCUGUUA